rnacentral:rRNA from 1 species
AUGAACGCUGACAGAAUGCUUAACACAUGCAAGUCUUUGGCGAAGCUGUGCUCGCACAGCCUAGCCAAGGCGGACGGGUGAGUAACGCGUAAGGAACUUGCCCUGCAGUCAGGGAUAACAGACGGAAACGACUGAUAAGACCUGGUAAAGUCAGGCGGACUCAUGUCCAGCCUGAUGAAAAGAGAUGCUGCAGGAGAGCCUUGCGUCCUAUUAGCUUGUCGGUGGGGUAACGGCCCACCAAGGCGAUGAUAGGUAGCCGGCCUGAGAGGGUGGACGGCCACAAGGGGACUGAGAUACGGCCCUUACUCCUACGGGAGGCAGCAGUGGGGAAUAUUGGACAAUGGGGGCAACCCUGAUCCAGCAAUUCUGUGUGCACGAUGAAGGUUUUCGGAUUGUAAAGUGCUUUCAGCAGGGAAGAAAAAAAUGACGGUACCUGCAGAAGAAGCGACGGCUAAAUACGUG